rnacentral:rRNA from 1 species
GACGAACCGUGCGAACGUUGUUCGGAAUCACUGGGCUUAAAGGGCGCGUAGGCGGCUUGCCAAGUCAGGGGUGAAAUCUUUCGGCUUAACCGGAAAACAGCUUCUGAUACUGGCGAGCUAGAGGGAGGUAGGGGUGCGUGGAACUUCUGGUGGAGCGGUGAAAUGCGUAGAUAUCAGAAGGAACGCCGGUGGCGAAAGCGACGCACUGGGUCUCUACUGACGCUGAGGCGCGAAAGCUAGGGGAGCGAACGGG